AAAUAAGAAACAAUAUCUUGUAUUUAGUUUCGACCUAAAAUUUUGGUGACCACCACCCUUAUUUA
rnacentral:tRNA from 1 species